CACGUAGGGUGCGAGCGUUGUCCGGAAUUAUUGGGCGUAAAGAGCUCGUAGGCGGUCAGUCGCGUCUGCUGUGAAAACUCGGGGCUUAACCCCGAGCCUGCAGUGGAUACGGGCAGACUAGAGGUAGGUAGGGGAGAAUGGAAUUCCCGGUGUAGCGGUGAAAUGCGCAGAUAUCGGGAGGAACACCGGUGGCGAAGGCGGUUCUCUGGGCCUUACCUGACGCUGAGGAGCGAAAGCGUGGGGAGCGAACAGG
rnacentral:rRNA from 1 species